CCCUGGGCUUGGCUUCACUGCCAGCAGCCUGCGUCCUCUGGAAUCAAGCUAGCGUCUUCCCUGGGAAAGCAUCUGAGCCUCCAUUUCCCCACGGAGUUAGAUUGUCUGCAGGGUGCACAGUAACGCUGGUGCAGAGGCUUGAACUCUUACCCACGAGCAGGCACAGAUGGUGUCCUAUGCUUUGAGCCUCAGAGUGAUGAGCCUGCCACACUGGCCGCUCUGGAGUCAGUCCCCAGACCCUGGGCCUCUCUGUGCUCCGGCAAGUGAAGGGUCCACGCUAGGCACAGAGACAGAAGGCUCUCUAGGACCUGCUCCAGAGCAGUGGCCAGUGGCCUGAAAUGUCCAGACUAAUCCACCCAGCUCCACCCUGGCAGGCAGAAAGGGAAGGGAGGACCUGUGAUCCGGGAAUCUGAGCUCCGAACUGAAAAUAUCCUUCAUUCCCCUUCACGGUUUGUGCAACAAUAUUCCCGCAGCCACUGCCCGCAGCCUCUAUGAGGAGAGACGAUGCUUGGAGGAAUCUUGAAGGCCAGGCUGGGGGCCAUGUGCACGGGGUGGGGGUGGGGAGAGGUGGGGGGUAGUGGGGAGUGGGAAGGGGGUCGAUCCCCUGUUUGCAGAGCUGGCCUUUUCCACAUUCUCAUCUGAGGAAGGGUGUGCGUUUCUCAAGAGGUGGCCCCUAAACCAGCCGCCUUGCUGCCCCUCCGUGGCGGCCCCGACCCUGCUUUCAGGGCCCAGCCCCGGGGCCCCUCCUGCGAGAAGCCUUCCUUGAUGUCCGCAGACGCACGCGCUAAUGUUCAGGCCGUCGGAGUCUUCUAGCUCUUCCAGGCCACGCUCCUGGGAGAGACGGGAGAGGGGGAGAAUCACAGACACACCUGAGGAAGGACCAGUUCCAUCGUGUCUCCACCUGUGGGAUCGGGCCAGAUGCCCCCGGCUGCGGCCACGCGGCCGACUCUGCAGCAUCGGAACGAGGCAGCUCUGUGUGAGCGGAGAAGACACGGUCUCCCAGCUGAGGGAGCAAGAAAAUGUAUCCAGCGGCAUUUAUGUCUGGUGCAACUCCACUGCUCUCCUAACAGUAAAAAUACCUCUUCAAGGGACACUGCUUUUGAAGAGCACCUGAUGGAACAGGAUUGAAAAGAGCUGGAUGUUGGAUCUGUCUCUCAUUUACCGACCGUGUGACUUUGAGGAAAUCAUCUAAUAUUACUGAGACAUAUGUCCUCUUUUUUCUAGACUAGUGACUCAAUGGAGGACAAUUUUGCCCAUAGGGGACAUUCGGCAACGUCUGGACACAUACUUUUUUGGCUGUGUCUCAACCUGGAGGGGAGGAUGCUGCUACUGGCAUCCAGCGAGUAGAGGCCACGGCUGCUGCUAAACAUUCUACAAGGCACAGGAUGGCUCCUUACACAGUGGGAUUGUUCAGCCCGAAGUCAACAAUGCUGAGGUUGAGAAACACUGGUUUGGACUUACAAAAGGAAUGCAAAAUACUCUGAUGAGUAUCCAUGUCUCUACCUCCCUGACAUGAGGAGAGAGCUGAAGUCCUUCGUGUACCCCCAUCCCCCAUGCAAGCCCCUCCUUCCUUGCAGAGAUAGGUGCCGUCCCAAAUCAUGUGGUUGUCAUUCUCAUGCAUGUCUGCCCCCUAUAACAAGGGUAUGUUGCCUUGCAAACGAGGCACGUAGCAAAUUGGCCUCAUUUACAAGGCAGUCACAAGGAGUUUGAGACAGAAAAGUCCAGGAAAAUGUCUUAAAUAGACCACAAAAUAAUUUACGAUCAAGGGCAAUUACUGUGAUUUUAUCUGCUGUUCCUAUUGUCUUUCGAAGCAUUCAGAGUAGACAUCAUUCCACCUCAUUUGACAUGUGCAGAAAUAAAGCCCAGAGAGACCCAGUGACUUUUCCUCA
rnacentral:lncRNA from 12 species